UACUUUCAAUUAAGCCUACAACUGUUAGGGGACGUGGUUCAGACCUGGGUUUGGGUUUGCAGCGGGCUAGCAGGUCUGCGUCAAACCAGGCAGGGCACUGGAGUCCCAAGCUGGCAGGGAAAGCAGGGACAGAAGUAGUCUUGGCAGAUCAGUUGGCAGCCCCAAGCGGGUUUCUGUGAUCCAGCCCGUCACACUGCAUAAGUACAUAAAAUUGCUUGAUUUGUACUAAAUAUUUAAACAAGUGGCCAAAAAGUCUCAUGAAUCAAGAUAAUGUGGAAAGUAACACAUGAAAUUAAAAUGCAGAUACUGGGUUUUACUGGUGAUUAUUACUUCCUCCAGUAAUAAAAACUUCCAAGGAAGCUCCAGAUUAUUAAUAAAUUUCUUAUAAAUUACCAAUCAAAUUAAACUAGUUUUGAAGCAGUAACCAAAGCUCUUUAAUGGGUAUAAAUUUCAAAUAAUAAUUACCCUAUACUGGUAGCUAAUGUGGGGCUUAAAAUAUGUCUUUGAAUUAAAAACCAGGGCUAAAAAUUAUAUAACUGUAUAUUGUAUUUUUCUUUUAAGACAAGGUUAAACAUUUUUUAUCUGGGAAGAUGAUUGAAGUUGGUCAUGUCAGUGCUGUGUUUACUGUCUGUUCAUUUACUUUGCACAACAGAAUUGCUUUGAUACUAUUGUUUCUACAAAACUUUGCAGGCCCAACAGUCAAAACAGGGCAUAUGUCUUCCCUGGAGGAAGGUUGGUUCCCAGGAGAGUGACCUGCCUGUAAACAGAGAUGCUCAGCCCUUGCCUGUCUCCUCUUAAACAUUACUGGGUUUGAGUCACUGGUUUCCAUUUUCUCCUUCUCUGUACUUGAUCUUGGUUUCCUGCAGAGAACAUGAGCCUACUAGCAAGUGACGGUCCUCUCUGGGCAUAAAGAGAAGUGUGGCCCAGUAGGCCAUCUUACCUCUAUUAUAUUCACUGCUUUGCAUUAUUAUACAUUUAUUAUAUGUAGCAGUAAUGCAAAGAACCUACAGGCCUGUAUCCUGUAAGACAUUGGCUUCAGCAGUUAGCAUGACGCUUGAGGCCUAUGAACUUUGGCAUAGAUAAAUUUAGGUAACUCAUAAGUUUUGGGGAACUGGAAGUAGAGUGCAGGGGGGAAUUUUGUCCAUAAUCACAUGAGCCAACCACAGAACAUGAACUAACACCAGCUUCUGGAAAGUUUUGGGUGGAACAUCCAACCGCAAAAGUGCCAUGGCAACAAAUUGACAUAUAUGAUAAUUGGGUGAAAUCAUAAAUACACUAACCUAUAGAAGAAGGACACCUUAACAUUGGUAAGGGGAGGAAAUACAAAUAAGGAAGAGGGGAGAAACUCCUAUUUAAUAUGCAUUAGACAUAGAAACGUCAGCGUAACAUAUUAUAAAAGUGGCAUCCCAGGGCAGUAUGGGAGAGAGAUGUAGCCCUUGGGAAGGGCCAGAGUGAUGGCCACUGAUGAAGAUGAGGAAGAUGAUGGCUAACUUUUCAGAUUGUGCUGAAAGGGAUGGUGAGGACCUGAACCUAGACCUGAGAGAUGGAGACCAGGGAAGUCCAUUCUGUUUGGCAUAGAUGGCUCCAGAUGUGUUACCUGUCAGCUCUGUGUUCUUGGGGAACCAGGACGCAGUAGCCAGCCUGUCUGACUCAAGGAAGACCUUCCCCCACCCGCCCAGCCUCUGCUUGAAUCAAAAUGGAUCAGAAGAAGGACUUACAAAAAGCAAUGAAAAGGCUGUGGAAGACACACACCUGACAGGAUUAAGGAAACUCCCCUAGCCUCAUUUGCAUCGGAGAUGGGACAGAGAGGCAUCUCCAUUAGCGUACAGAAUGAAGAGCAGAGAUUCCAAGGCAAGAACUGCACGGAACUCUGGGACCAGGAAAGCACUGGAUGAUGGGGAAUCUCUGCUCCAGAUGUUAUUGAACCCAGGCCUGCACACACCCAGCUCAGUAGUUACUAGACCAAUUCCAGUAAUAAAUCCUUUAUUGGUAUUUAAAUACUGAAGCUGUCUAACUGUAUUGUGAGCUCCCUGCAAGGAACACCGCCCACAGCCAGGAAUGAUCAGUUCCUAUUGUCUAGCCUGAACAAAACAACUUUGGUAUACUCCCUUGAGCCAUCAGUUUACCCAUAAACAAAUCUAGUGUUCUCUCUUGAACCACUGUUCUUUCCCUACACAAACCCCUACCCAUGCUCAAGUAAGCGUUCUGAUGCCUGGAUCCAAAAUCUGCAUCAGUUCCAUAAGGACUUCAUCUUCUCCUUACUGAUUCUGCUGGGGAUUCUGCCUGUCUUCAACGCUCUGGACCCUCAGCUACCGUCACCAUCUGGGACCACCGAUCGAUUCAAACUUCAUGGAGUGGUGAGAACUCAGCGCACGUGCACGCUGUCUCUCUCUCUUUCAGUAUAGUCUUCUGACCCUGACUUGUGUAAUCAGUUAUAGUUUUCUAAACCUGACUUUUAUCAUCAAAUUUAAGUUAGAUUUAAUAUUAUAACUUUUGUUUGUUUGGCUCCCCUACGGUUAUUACCUGGCAA